ensembl:rRNA 5S_rRNA 5S ribosomal RNA
GUCUAUGGCCAUACUACCCUGAACGCGCCCGAUCUCAUCUGAUCUCGGAAGCUAAGCAGGGUUGGGCCUGGUUGGUACUUGGAUGGGAGAAUUAAUAUUUUGAAACACAUCUCAUGAAUU